rnacentral:lncRNA from 1 species
CCAGGGAGAACGCCAUGGGAAGAUGAAGGCAGAGAUCAGGAUGAUGAAUCUACAAGUCAAGGCAUGCCAAAUAUUGCCAGCAAACCACUAGAAGCUAGGACAGAGGCGUGGAACAGAUUCUCCCUCACAGCCCUCAGAAGGAACCACCCCUGCGACAGCUUGAUUUCAGACUGCUAGCCUCUGGAAACAACUAAUAAAAAAGCUUGUUUGGGGCAAUGAAGAGGUGAAAGCACACGUGAGUAAGCAAGAAAAUUGACCUAGAGGAAGUGAUCAAUCUAAACAGCAGAGAAGUAGUGCUUCUGGAAAAAUCUUCAUCACACUCAUUCGCUUUGCAGUAAUGAAGUGGAAAAGGCACCUUAUCAAGACAAGAUUUAUCUUAUGAAGAGGGAAGCUAACGAAUUAAGAAAUUUCCAAGGAUAGCAUAAAACCUGGAGGAAUGAGAAACAAAAGGAGCUCUCUGUUCAGAUUCCUGCCUCUGAAAACCAGGAACAAAACAAAUUAGAAGAGCCUAAGAGCUUUGAAGAUUUUAAGUCUCUGAGCAAUCCAAAUCCUUUCGAAGUUGAAGAAUAUCUUUUUCUCGACAAACAGAAGCAUCCUUUUUAUGUUAAUACAGUCAUGCUAAGAAACAAUGACAGAAUAGUUGGUAUGGGAGUAAUGCCCUGAAAGAGAUGAGUCACUGUCUGAGGCAGAAACCGGAAAGCGUAAAGCUCCCUGUGGGGAAUACAACAAAGACGUGGGAACCAUCAUAGGACGAUCGACGUUGCCUCUGCCAUCACCUGGGUUUGUGAAUGGCUUCAUCAGCACUUCAUGCUAACACUAUUAAAUAUGAAGUGUCAAGCUCGGCACUCACAGAAGGUGACCUGGACUAGAGCCAGGCCCCCAGCUGAGCCUGUGAUGAGCAUCCAGGAGCUGCUCAAAUGAGGGAUCAAUGACUUGCAAGUUUACCAGGCAGAAUAAUGAAUAGAAGUGGGACAACUGCAAGCAAAAUUGGCAUGAGAAAUGAGGGUACUGAGAGAGUGGCCAAGAGUAGGGCACAGCUGCAGAAAGUUGAGGAACUAGCCCGCUAGAAUCUGACCUGGGAGGUACAAACACAGUGCGGAAAACUUGGUAGUCCUAUGAGGAUUUCGGGGGCAGAGAAAAUACUCUGUAUGAUACCAUAAAGAUGAAUACAUGUCUUUAAACGUUUGUCCAAACCCAUAGAAUGUACAACACCUCUCUGGCGGGGCAUGUUGAUAAUGGGGGAGAUUAUGUUUGUGACGGGCCAGGAAAUCUCUGCACUUUUCCCUCAAUUUUGCUGUGAACCUAAAAUUGCUCUAAAAAUAAAUGAAGUCAAU